AGUCGAACGAGAUCUUCGGAUCUAGUGGCGCACGGGUGCGUAACGCGUGGGAAUCUGCCCUUGGGUUCGGAAUAACUUCUGGAAACGGAAGCUAAUACCGGAUGAUGACGUAAGUCCAAAGAUUUAUCGCCCAAGGAUGAGCCCGCGUAGGAUUAGCUAGUUGGUGAGGUAAAGGCUCACCAAGGCGACGAUCCUUAGCUGGUCUGAGAGGAUGAUCAGCCACACUGGGACUGAGACACGGCCCAGACUCCUACGGGAGGCAGCAGUAGGGAAUAUUGGACAAUGGGGGAAACCCUGAUCCAGCAAUGCCGCGUGAGUGAUGAAGGCCUUAGGGUUGUAAAGCUCUUUUACCCGGGAUGAUAAUGACAGUACCGGGAGAAUAAGCUCCGGCUAACUCCGUGCCAGCAGCCGCGGUAAUACGGAGGGAGCUAGCGUUGUUCGGAAUUACUGGGCGUAAAGCGCACGUAGGCGGCUAUUCAAGUCAGAGGUGAAAGCCCGGGGCUCAACCCCGGAACUGCCUUUGAAACUAGAUAGCUUGAAUCCAGGAGAGGUGAGUGGAAUUCCGAGUGUAGAGGUGAAAUUCGUAGAUAUUCGGAAGA
rnacentral:rRNA from 1 species